AUUGAACGCUGGCGGCAUGCCUUACACAUGCAAGUCGAACGGCAGCACGGGGCAACCUGGUGGCGAGUGGCGAACGGGUGAGUAAUGCAUCGGAACGUACCUUUCAGUGGGGGAUAACGUAGCGAAAGUUACGCUAAUACCGCAUAUUCUGUGAGCAGGAAAGCAGGGGAUCGCAAGACCUUGCGCUGAUUGAGCGGCCGAUGUCAGAUUAGCUAGUUGGUGAGGUAAAGGCUCACCAAGGCGACGAUCUGUAGCGGGUCUGAGAGGAUGAUCGGCAACACUGGAACUGAGACACGGUCCAGACGCCUACGGGAGGCAGCAGUGGGGAAUUUUGGACAAUGGGGGCAACCCUGAUCCAGCCAUGCCGCGUGAGUGAAGAAGGCCUUCGGGUUGUAAAGCUCUUUCGGCCGGGAAGAAAUCGCACGGGCUAAUACCCUGUGUGGAUGACGGUACCGGAAUAAGAAGCACCGGCUAACUACGUGCCAGCCGCCGCGGUAAUAC
rnacentral:rRNA from 1 species